rnacentral:lncRNA from 1 species
GGAGGAGGCCACAGCAAGGCAUGUCUCUGCCUCUGUGGGGGAGUUAAUAGUACCAGGGUGGCCCCCAUUGCUGCCCCAUGGUCUGAGGUGUUUGCAGAAGGGAGCAAGUUUCUCAAUUAUCCUUUAACAAUGGAAUGUGUUCUGCCCAUGGCUCAGCUGCAUGGGGGAGGUGCUGGCAGGGCAGGACUGGGCUGGCGCCUUCCAGAAACAGGGCCUUCAUCUUUCACCCCUCAGUUAGAGACAGCUGUGAGGUGAGAUAUAAGUCAGUGACCAUUUGUAAAUGAUUUCUGUGGAUGUUACCAUGUAUUUAUUCACUGCAUGCUUUCUCUUGGUUGGAAAGUUCUGAAUUCUUUGUGCUGUGGUGUACAGCUCCUCAAACUGCUAAGUGAGGUUGUGCUUACAGGGUGCAUCGAUGGAACAUGACUUAGAGGGCAUCAUUUUAAAGAGCCUGUAUUCACCUCUCUCUUGGUAGAGAGGCAACAAGUGGUCCUUCCAUCAGAACAGGUCUGUCCCUCCCCAGCCUGACAGCAUCCACUGCAGUCAUCUCUUGCAGAAAGGCAGAAGUUGGACAUCUUCUUGGAGAUAUCUUGGGCUUUCCAGGCCAAAGCUCUUUGGCUCCUUUCAACAGGCAAUGGAAGAAAAUUGUGAGCUCCUUAGGGCUGGGACUUCUUUUGUUACUUUUCUGCUGCUGAGCACAGCAAGGCCUCAGUCUUGGGAAUGAGACCUUACCCAAAUAAUUGAAGGAUUGCAGGGCUGCUAGACAUGAGUUGGUGGAGUCAUAAAUGAGGGCAUGCUGAUGUGGCUGCACCACUCCUUAUCAUGUUUUCUCUUACCCAUCACCAGGACCCCCCAUGGCAGAGGCUCCCUUGCUCCCUUGGCUGGGAUGAAGCGCCAUGGCCCCAGGCAUAUGGAGCACACUGAGACAAACUGAGCAGCCUUUUGGAAAUGUCUUGAGAUGGUUGGCAAUGGAGAGAGAUUGCAGUGCAAGCACUUUUCUGGAUUACUCUGUCACCUACGUCAAAUCAAAGCAUCAAGGAUAUAAAUCUUCAGUAAACAUCUGGCCUCACUUCAGCCAGGUUAUGCAAUGCCUCAAGUACAUUCAGCAGCAGAUUAUGCUGCGUUCUCCAUUUGUACAAUGCAAGCUAAUGUGAAUAUCAAGUCACAUCAGUGAUCUAGACAAGUGCUUUGGAAAUAAAGACAGCAACCCAAACUGGGAAGUUCGGCCU